rnacentral:rRNA from 1 species
UACGUAGGGGGCGAGCGUUGUCCGGAAUCAUUGGGCGUAAAGAGCGUGUAGGCGGUUUGUCGCGUCUGCCGUGAAAGUCCGGGGCUCAACUCCGGAUCUGCGGUGGAUACGGGCAGACUAGAGUGAUGUAGGGGAGACUGGAAUUCCUGGUGUAGCGGUGAAAUGCGCAGAUAUCAGGAGGAACACCGAUGGCGAAGGCAGGUCUCUGGGCAUUAACUGACGCUGAGGAGCGAAAGCAUGGGGAGCGAACAGG